rnacentral:tRNA from 1 species
GUCGGGGUGGCUCAGCUUGGUCAGAGCGCCUGACUCAUAAUCUGGAGGUCGCGGGUUCAAAUCCCGCCCCCGACA